GACGACGCUGGCGGCGUGGAUUAGGCAUGCAAGUCGAACGGUAUCAUCCUUUCGGGGGUGAGAGAGUGGCGAACGUGGUGAGUAACACGUAGGUUAUCUACCCUCAAGACGGGACAACCCAGGGAAACUUGGGCUAAUACCGGAUGUGAGCAACUUUUUAGUUGUUUGAAAGGUGGCGUAAGCUGUCGCUUGGGGAUGAGCCUGCGUCCUAUUAGUUAGUUGGUGAGGUAACGGCUCACCUAGGCAAUGAUAGGUAGGCGGCCUUAACGGGUGGUCGCCCACACUGGGAUUGAGAUACGGCCCAGACUCCUACGGGAGGCAGCAGUCGAGAAUAGUCUACAAUGGUCGGAAGACUGAUAGUGCGACGCCGCGUGAACGAUGAAUCCCUUCGGGGUGUAAAGUUCUUUUAUAUGUGAGCAGUGCUUCUUAUAUUAACAGUAUGGGGAGAGAGAUAUUAGCAUAUGAAUAAGCAACGGCUAACUCCGUG
rnacentral:rRNA from 1 species